GUUAACAAGCAUUCAAAAUUAUCCUAUUGAUUUAAAGGGACACUUCAGACCCCUACAGCAUUGUUCCCCUCAUUUUACAAAAGUGCAGAUUUCAAAUGUAGAUAAAUUGGCACUUUUAUUAAUUAACAUUGUUUGACAGCCAGGGGGAUGAAACAAUCACUCCUGUUACUUGCUGGUUGGUUAGUUCAGUGGAGCUAAACUCAAGCAGCAGCAAUUAUUUACAACACCUGCCUUGCAAAGACUUCUCAUUGAGCUGCAUUGGGAAGUCUGUGAUUGGACAGUCAUGGAAUGUCUGGGUGAG